AAAAAAUAGCCGGUCACGGUUUCCCUCAUGAGGCAGCGCUCGCUCAACCAGAACUGACCGGUAAGAUAGCAGACUAUCGACGGACUCACAAGUCACAGCUGUCAACCGGGGCUGUCCUUCUCGUCGAAAACAUGGUGAAAAAGGCUAAAAGUCCCGUCACUUACGCAAAAAUGAAGGGAAUAGUUUCAUAUUUUACAGCUUUAAUUAAGGACAAGAAGCUUCGAUCCGGCAGCCACCCUAUCUAUCGACAGAUGGAUUUCUUGCGACCUGAGGGUAGUCUUUCUGAAGAUGAUGGAGCAGCAGCUGUUUACAGUAAUCCACAACCAGAGUAGCCACAGUCUCGGUAAGCGGGGUGCUCAGCUGAUCUGCUGAAGAGACUGCUAAACAGGGACAGGGCCAAGAGACUAGGAGCAAAACAUGACCUGACCGAGCUGCAGUCUCAUCCUUUCUUCUUGUCUAUUCAUUGGGAUGAACUUGUUGCAAAGAAAAUUACUCCUCCUUACGUUCCCUUAUUGUCUGGCCCUGGUGACCUCACAAACAUUGACCCUCGGUUUACAGAACUUCCUGUUCCGCAGUCGCUAGGAGCAUGUGAGGAGUACGGAGCAACCUUUCCAGGCUUCACCUACAUCAAUGAAAACAUUCUCUCACUGACUCGUGGACAUUAAGACAGAAUUCUGUCAGACCAAUAGACAUUUUGUCUGAACAUGUUUUAAGGAUGUUUAACUUAAGCAAACACUGAAGCACAGUUCAUUUUUAUGUUAGCCGGACCAAUGCUUUUGCACAUGACUACAAAUUUUCUAUCAAAUGUGACUGUUUUCCUAACAUUCAUGUUAUUUAAUUCCUUUUUUAGCCCUAUUUGAUCAAAAAAAUAUUUGUACUGAAAUACAAUGAUUAGUGGUAUUCUGACAAUAACUGAGACGACAUGAAGUGAGACUACAGGUUGCAUCAGAUGUUUGAUUGUAAAAGUUGUGAGAUGGAAUGAAUAUUAAAUCUCAAUGUAAUUACAAUUGUGUGUAUAAAACGUGUUUUUGAUUAAAUUGUUUGAUCAGUAAAAUAAUGUCC